CAGGGAACUCCCUUUUCUACCCAGGGGAAGGGUGGUGGUAGGGAGAAGCUAGUAAAUCAAAACAGCAGACUUGCAAACAAAGUAUCUGUAUCUAACUUCAGAUAUCACAAAGAAGUAACUGCCUUAAAAUAUACUCCCAAGAUCUGAAAUUUCAGCCUCUAGUCACUCAUUGAUCUGAUCUGCAGCUCUUUCCCCUUGAAAACCUGCAGGGUCAGGUGACAUUUCCAGGUUACCAUUUUAUCAUGCCCCAACCCAGUACUGGAGAUUGAGCCCAAAGCCUCAGAUAUGCUAGGCAAGUACAUGACAACAGAGCUACAUUCCUAACCCUUUUUUUAAAUUAAAAUAUCUUUAUUUUGUUUUAUUUAUUUUUGUGGUGGUGAGGAUCAAACCCAGUGCCUCACAUGUGUGAGGCAAAUGCUUUGCCACUGAGCCACAACCCCAGCCCUCCUAACCCUUUUUAUUUUGAGACAGGGUUUUGCUAAAUAAUCCAGGGUAGGCUUAAACUCUCAAUCUUACUGCCUCAGCCUCCUGAGUCCCUGGAAUUAUAGGCAUGUGCCACCACACGGCUCAAAAAGAUUUUUGAUUAAGGAUUAUUUUUGCUUAUUCAUUUACUUAUUUUUGGUACUGGAAAUUGAAUCCAGGGGCACUUUACCACCGAGCUACAUCCUCAGUUCUUUUUUAUUCUUCAUUUUCAGACAGGGUGUGCUAGAUUGCUUAGUGCCUUGCUAAAUUGCUGAGACUAGCUUUGAACUUGAGAUCCUCCUGCCUUAGUCUCCAGAGCCACCAUGCCCAGGGAUUAUUUUUGCUUUUGAGUUUAUUCUGAAUUUCUCUUAAAAACAUAAACUUUCUUACUAAUAGUAUUGGUAAAAUAGCACACAAUCAUAGUAGCAAAUUUGGAAAAUACAGAAUAGAAAUAUACACAAUUUUUAAAACAUUCACGAUUGCAUUAUCCGGGAGUUUACCUCCUUACUAUGUAUUGAAAAUCUUCACAUACUCAGGAGGCUGAGGCAGGAGGAUCAUGAGUUCAAAGCCAUUCUCAGCAAUUUAUUGAGGUAAUAAGCAAUUCAGUAAGAGCCUGUCUAAAAAUAAAAAAUAAAAAGGGCUAAGAAUGUGUGGCUCAGUGAUAACCGCACCCCCCCCCCCCCGGGGUUCAGUUUCUGGAAGCUAGUACCAGAAACAACAACAAAACACUAUUAGAAUUCACAUACCAUACAACUCAUCCCACAAAGUGUAC
rnacentral:lncRNA from 1 species